GACAGAGGGUGCAAACGUUGUUCGGAAUUACUGGGCGUAAAGAGCGUGUAGGCGGCCAGAUAAGUCCGCUGUGAAAUCUCGAGGCUCAACUUCGAGCUGUCGGUGGAAACUAUCUGGCUAGAGUCCGGAAGAGGAGAAUGGAAUUCCUGGUGUAGCGGUGAAAUGCGUAGAUAUCAGGAAGAACACCCGUGGCUAAGGCGGUUCUCUAGUACGGUACUGACGCUGAGACGCGAAAGCGUGGGGAGCGAACAGG
rnacentral:rRNA from 1 species